GACGAACGCUGGCGGCGUGCCUAACACAUGCAAGUCGAGCGAGCGGCGGACGGGUGAGUAAUGUAUGGGGACUGCCCGAUAGAGGGGGCUAACUACUGGAAACGGUGGCUAAUACCGCAUACUAUCGGAUAACCCAUAUGGGAUUAGCUAGUAGGUGGGGUAAAGGCUCACCUAGGCGACGAUCCCUAGCUGGUCUGAGAGGCUGAUCAGCCACACUGGGACUGAGACACGGCCCAGACUCCUACGGAGGCAGCAGUGGGGAAUAUUGCACAAUGGACGCAAGCCUGAUGCAGCCAUGCCGCGUGUAUGAAGAAGGCCUUAGGGUUGUAAAGUUCUGUCGGCAGGGAGGCGUUACCCGCAGAAGAAGCAACGGCUAACUCCGUGCCAGCAGCCGCGGUAAUAC
rnacentral:rRNA from 1 species